ensembl:lncRNA
CCUUGUCCUUCCCUGUGAUCUUUGUGAGUGGAGUGGAGCACUACUCGAUCCUGAGCUAAACUUAGCCCUGACAGUACCAGUCCUCAUCACAACAACCUCUGCGGACCACACUGGGUCACAGAGGAUGGUGUCGAGUUACCACAGAUGCUGCUGUAUCUCACUGGUGACGCUGUCGUAACAAGAUGUAGACUUAAAAGCUGCAGGUGUUUCUGUCUUGCACUCUCUGCACUUGUAUUCCUCUCUAUCACGAUGGGCAGCUAUAGCUCAGCCCUCACUCCUGAGACUGAAGAGUUUGUUUCAAUUGUGUCAGUCACGGAGAAGCUGAAUGAGCAGGUAGCUCAUGCUGCAGAUGAGAGGUUACAGUCAGAGCUUCAGACUCUGGUUAGGCUGAUGGAGGAAGAAAGAAACGACGGCCAGAGUGAACAACUGAAUUCUUUACUACUUCAAGAAAACUCCCAGGAAGCAAAUCAAAGUAGAUGUGAACCGCCUGCAGCAGAAUCCAUAAAUGUGCCCACACAGCCCUUCUCCUCUCUGUUGUCAAAGGUUUUCUCUGCUGUACUUCAUCCAACGUUGCCUCCAGGCUCCAACUCAGAUCCACAGUUGAGCACUCAUCCACCAAACCUGGAACAACUGCAGACAGAGCUGAGAGUCCUGAGGGACCAGUUCGAACAGAUGAAGAGUCAGCACAAGUACGCCUUUGUUAUUAUAAUCUUUGUUCAGAUUUGGGGUUUUUUUUUACAUUCCCUCUUGGUUUGUAGCUCUCCUAUUCAUUCACAUUUGUUCUUUUGCUGCACUCAUUUUACAAUAAUCUGUGUUCCAGCAAAGAAAUUAAACUGCUGA